CGUGUAGCCGGGAAGGCAAGUCAGGUGUGAAAUCCACGGGCUUAACUCGUGAACUGCAUUUGAAACUGUUUUUCUUGAGUAUCGGAGAGGCAAUCGGAGUUCCUAGUGUAGCGGUGAAAUGCGUAGAUAUUAGGAGGAACACCAGUGGCGAAGGCGGCUCUCUGGACUGUAACUGACACUGAGGCACGAAAGCGUGGGAGCAAACA
rnacentral:rRNA from 1 species